AAUUUUCAAAGCAAAUCAAAUUUGGAAGAACCCUAGAUCAAAAAAAAAAAAAAAAAAAAAAAAAAAGAGAAAGAUCAAGAAUCAAAAUGGAUUAUUUUCUCUUCCAUUCUCGAAGCAGAGCUUUCUCAUCCCCGGUGAACCUGUAAUCAUAGCCGUUCCAGAUCUUGCUUCACCUCAAGUUUUCAGUCCGGCAACUAGAAGAUCUCGGUGUGAUCUCGGCGUUCUCGGUUCGUCUACGUCAAGCAUAAAUCUCCGGUCAAGCAUAUCAGUUGGGCCCGUAAGCCCAAUUCUCCACUGAAGGAGCUUGUCGCAUCUGUCUCCUCUUUGCUCAGAAAGAUUGCAAAAAGCUCGAGAAUUGAUCUCGGCGAAGCUCACGAGCUUGACCUUGCAACACCUGAAACUUUCAGUCCAUCAAGUAGCUCCCGACUCGUGCUUUGGAGUCCCGCUUUGCUCACGGAAGAGACAGAGGUCAGAGAUUCAAUCCUGGUGGCGAGUUUGAGCUUUGACGAGGAAGACGUACUUCUUGGCACCGAGUGAAUUCGAAGAUGUAGAUCCAGCGGCUUCGUUGAUUGAUCGCUUCAUCUUCGUCAUUUCUGAAGAAUCUGACGGAACGACAUCCUUGGAUGAAUGCUAGUGACGGCACGGCCGCAUGGGUAGUAGUUUCCUUGAAGCGGUAUCCUAUCUCUUGUAACAGGCGAUUAGCUCCUGGUCAUCAAAAGCCUCAUCGACAAGCUCCACACGAUACUCCAAGUCUGAUCAGUCCCCAUCGCCUUUCUCAUGAAGCUCUGCUCUUGAUGUCAUUGGUUUUGUAACGGCGGAGUCGUUGUUCUCCGGCAAGAGAAACAAAUUACUUGAAGGAUAAAGUUCAGACAUCAUUUAUUGGUUCGUGGGCUAGUAUCGGAGUAAUAGGUCAAUCUCGUUUCAGCUAUUCCCGUCGUUAGCUAUCACUGGAGAACAGAAGCCACAGUGAUUUAUUGACAAAGGAAGAAGCUUUCUCAUGAAGCGAUGCUCUUGAUAUCAGCAAAGGCUCACCAAAGUUCGAAACUUCCUUCGAGAGCCUCACCAUCUUGCCGUCAGAAGCUUAUAUAAGACAAGCUGCAUCUCUCAGCCUUGUUGAAAGUUUGAGCUCACGAGCACGCAAGAAUCAGAAAGGUUUCUCUUCAUCUCGUCGUACUUAUCUCGGCGUAGUCUUGCCGCUAACAGUUUCAGGAUCAGUAAUGGAAUGUCAUUGCAUCUUUGCCACAAGAAGUUGAGUUUACUUGAAUGGUUCUCGGCUAAACUUAACACUUGACGGCGACGAAGGCUCAGCCACUUGCUCCGCAUCUCAUUCGAGGCUUGGAGUUGUUCUCGAGUACAGCCGGAGAAGGCUUUUCCUGUGUUGAUCAGCGUUAGCCUGUCCCUUAGCUGCUGGUUCACCUGACUUCUUGGGCUGUCUCUGUUUCUUAGGACGAGAUGGAAAUGAUGAAACGAUCUCAGCAUGAUAAUUCUUGAGGUCGACAUUACCUUGCCUUCUUCUCCAAAGUUCGCCAAGACGAGCUUACCGCAACCGGCACGAACUUGAGAGAAGGAGAGACCGAUGGAAACAAACAACAACAACAUAGAGCUGCUUCUUCAGCUAUGUACAGAUCCGUGCAGAUGAUCUCUAGAGAAGACUUAUAGGGAACGCUCUACUGAUGGGCUAAAGCAGUUGAGAACUGCGAUGUGGCAAUGGUUGAUCUCUCAACUACACGUAACAACGAGGUGUCAUAUCGGCAACAAAAGCUAUUCGUCACGAACUUGCCAUCUCAGUCGUGUUUCUCCGCAUGGCUCUAGAGUAUCAAGCUCUAGACAGACCUGCAGCGGACGUGAUUCUCGUCGGCUCGGCUUCGACUUGUUACAUACAACCACCUCUUCACAACAAAGAUAAGUUAUUUUAUCAAACCAUCACGUGUUUUAAUCACGUAAACAUUGUGGCUUUGGUUUAAACUAAUGAAACAACUCUAAACUGUUCAUUCAUCUUAUGUUAUUGCUUAGCUGUUGGUAGUCUAUGAUAUUAAUAAGUUGACAAUUAUUAUAUCAUCAUGCACAACUCACUAGCAUUAAGUAAAAUCAAGUUCAAUCGGUUGUUUAUUAAUUAUGCAACUGUUGAUUUUUUCUCUUGGUUUAUAUUGAUCUAAUCAUGAUCAUGGUUUUCUUGAGCCAGAGAUCGUUGAGCCAAAAGGAAAAGAGAAUCACAAGCGGUUGCCACCAUCAUGUCCUCAUGCUUCGAAGGACGGCCCUCACCUACGAGCUUGUCGGAAGCAGCACAAGUCGGCGCUUUCUCACGUCAUCAUGGCCUGACGAACACACAAGCCAACAACUUUCUCGGCACACAUGAUCUCAACACGAGACUUCGGGUCGGCAAUAGUUCGGUUCAAGGAGAUGGUUGGUGCAGAGGCUGGAAAAGUGGUUGAUAUCUCAACACUGUUGAUGGGUUUCAGGGAAUGGAGAAGGAUGUUGCAAUAUUUUCAUGCGUCAGGGCUAACGAUAAAGGGGAAAUAGGUUUUCUCUCUAAUUCUCGGAGAAUGAAUGUUGGCAUUACACGAGCUUAGUCUUUUGUACCGGUCAUUGGCUCAGCUGCUACAUUAAAGAGUAAUCCACUGGGGAAAAAUAUAGUAGAAAGUGCUGAGAAGAGAAACCCAUUAUUCAAGGUAUCGAAGCCAAUGAACUAUUUCUUGAGCGAGGAGAAUUUGGAGACGAUGAAUGUGACUGAGGACAUGGAGAUUCCUGAUGCUGCAAGGUAUGAACUCCUCCUGUUGCAAGUUAUGGCACUACAAAAAAAGAUGGAUAUUGUGACUAAUUUUUGUGUCAAAAUAGUUUGUCACAAUAUUGUGACUAAUUGUUAACUAACUUGUGACCAAGUUAUUACGUUACAAAAUGGUAACUAUUUGGUCAUAAUAUUGUAACUGAAUGUUAAGGAACAAAAUAAUGUCACAAAUGAUGACGAAUUAGAGACAAAAAUUU